AGUGAACGCUGGCGGUAGGCCUAACACAUGCAAGUCGAACGGCAGCACAGGAGAGCUUGCUCUCUAGGUGGCGAGUGGCGGGCGGGUGAGGAAUACAUCGGAAUCUGCCCAGUCGUGGGGGAUAACGUAGGGAAACUUACGCUAAUACCGCAUACGACCUUCGGGUGAAGGAGGGGGAUCGCAAGACCUCUCGCGAUUGGAUGAGCCGAUGUCGGAUUAGCUAGUUAGCGGGGUAAUGGCCCACCAAGGCGACGAUCCGUAGCUGGUCUGAGAGGAUGAUCAGCCACACUGGAACUGAGACACGGUCCAGACUCCUACGGGAGGCAGCAGUGGGGAAUAUUCGACAAUGGGCGAAAGCCUGAUCCAGCCAUACCGCGUGGGUGAAGAAGGCCUUCGGGUUGUAAAGCCCUUUUGUUGGGAAAGAAAUCUUUCAGGCUAAUACCCUGGGAGGAUGACGGUACCCAAAGAAUAAGCACCGGCUAACUUCGUG
rnacentral:rRNA from 1 species